UACGUAGGUGUCGAGCGUUGUUCGGAUUUACUGGGCGUAAAGCGCACGUAGGCGGAUCGUUAAGUCGGGGGUGAAAUCCUGGAGCUCAACUCCAGAACUGCCUUCGAUACUGGCGAUCUUGAGUCCGGAAGAGGUGAGUGGAACUCCUAGUGUAGAGGUGGAAUUCGUAGAUAUUAGGAAGAACACCAGUGGCGAAGGCGGCUCACUGGUCCGGUACUGACGCUGAGGUGCGAAAGCGUGGGGAGCAAACCGG
rnacentral:rRNA from 1 species